rnacentral:lncRNA from 1 species
AGAGCUGGGCGGGUUAAGGAGGAGGAUGGCGCCGUCCUGCAGAUGUGCGGGGACGCGCGCCCGCCGCAACGUGAGGCUCAUAGGCCACACGCAACUCUGAGCAUUGGCCAGGACCUGUAGUAGCCAACAGGACACUUAAUAACUGAUGUAUAGGUGCGCACUGUGUGUCCAGAGCUUUACGUUAACCACCUCACUGUGUCAUCUCGCUGAGGUUGUGUGGUUUACUAUUACUGCUAUUAGCGCAUUUUUAAGCGGGAAACCUGAGGCAUGAGGAGGGUCAGUCCUCGACCUUGUCCCCCCAAAUUGCUUCGUCUCUGAAUCCAGACUCUGAAGUUCGGCUCUGCCUACCACCUUAAGUUAUCCGAUGUGGCCUUACCGUCAGCCUAGUCUUUGACUACAGGAAGACCUCUCUUCCUGAAGAAGACGCCUCUUUUCAUCCAUUCACUCUGGAAAUGAUUCAACGUCUGCCUGCUGCUGAUGCUUUACUCUCCACCAGGGGUUUUCGAAGUGUGCUUCCCCAUUCCCCCUGGGCCUAUAGCAUCAGCAUCAGGGAACUUGUCAGUAACGCACAUUCUUGGGCCCCAACCCAGAACUACUGAAUCAGAAACUUGGGGUGAGGGCCUGUCGUGGUGGCUCAUGCCUGUAAUCCCAACACUUUGGGAAGCAGAGGAGGGUGGAUCACCUGAGGUCAGGAGUUGAGGACCAGCCUGGCUAACAUGGUGAAACCCCGUCUCUACUAAAAAUAGAAAAAUUAGCCAGAUGUGGUGGCGUGUGCCCAUAAUCCUAGCUACUCGGGAGACUGAGGCAGGAGACUCGCUUGAACCCAAGAGGCGGAGGUUGCAGUGAGCCAAGAUUGCACCACUGCACUCUAGCCUGGGCGACAGAGUGAGACUCCGUCUCAAAAAAAAAAAAAGAACUCAGGGUGAGGCCCAGCCGGCUGUGGUUUUAUGAGCUUUUCAGGGGAUACUGAUGCGGGAUCAAAUUUGAGAAGCACUGGUCUAGGUCUUAGAUCCUCUUGCUUCAGUUUCGUCAUUGGAUCUCAGGAAUGUUCAGCUGCCCUCUCAAGGCAACUUCUUACUUCACUUGACCUUCCAAGACCUCUCGUUCUGUCAAACCCCAAUUUUGGAUCAACCCAGGCAUGCUUCCCUCAUGUGUUCCAAAGCUGGUCAGAGUAGUCUACACCACUAUCUGCUUCAACUUCUAGUAACGUCUAAGCCUUCAGCAGUUUUGCUUAUGAAACUGCUUCACUGAAGUUCUCCACCACCAAGUAGUCAGCUGGCAUCGGAAUUCGGCUUGUGUCAAAUGGAACUCAACAUCUUCCUCUUCAGGACAUCCCCUAUUUUCAUCCUCCCAGUGA